GCUAGCAAUGCACGCCCGUGGUUCAGCCGGCUAGUCUUGUGAGUAGUCGUGUGACGGAUCCGAACGGACCGUCGGCGGCGACUUCGCCGGGCGAGCUGUGGUGCACUCCAUGGACGUGCGCGUCAGCGUCGGUUUCCGACGAGCGAUGAGGUGCGUGGGGGAAGGUAGCUCGGUUCUUCGGGACGGAGUGUUAAGACCCUGGUGCUGGGCUCGUUGUGGGACCGAGGAGAGAGAUGAUCGCUGCGGCACCUGCCUCUCGGGGCUAGCCAGCCGUUGCCAGGUGUAGGUCAGGCGCUGAGGACUGCACGCAGUGCUCGGAUGUUGAGGCGUAAUCUGGUGGUGGUGUGGGCAUAGAGGUGCCUAGGACGCUGGCGUCCAAAUGGCCGUGCGCGACCCGUCUUGAAACACGGACCAAGGAGUCUAACAUGUGCGCGAGUCUUAGGGUGUGCAAGCCCUCGGGCGGAAUGAAAGUGAAGGUUGGGCACUAGUCCAGCUGAGGUGAGAGCCGUUGCUGGCCUGACUGCUACGGCGGCGCAUCAUCGGCCGGUCCAUCCUGCUCUCAGGAGGAUCCGAGCAAGAGCGUAUCUGUUGGGACCCGAAAGAUGGUGAACUAUGCCUGAAUAGGGUGAAGCCAGAGGAAACUCUGGUGGAGGCUCGUAGGGAUUCUAACGUGCAAAUUGAUCUCAAAAUUUGGGUAUAGGGGCGAAAGACUAAUCGAACCAUCUAGUAGCUGGUUCCCUCCGAAGUUUCCCUCAGGAUAGCUGGAACUCGUCAAGACAGUUUUAUCAGGUAAAGCGAAUGAUUAGAGGUCUUGGGGGUGAAACACCCUCAACCUAUUCUCAAACUUUAAAUCGGUAAGAAGCGCGACUUGCUUAAUUGAAGCCGCGCAGCCAAUGUGAGUUCCAAGUGGGCCAUUUUUGGUAAGCAGAACUGGCGAUGCGGGAUGAACCGAACGCUCGGUUAAGGUGCCCAAGUCGACGCUCAUCAGACCCCAGAAAAGGUGUUGGUUGAUAUAGACAGCAGGACGGUGGCCAUGGAAGUCGGAAUCCGCUAAGGAGUGUGUAACAACUCACCUGCCGAAUCAACUAGCCCUGAAAAUGGAUGGCGCUCAAGCGUCGCACCUAUACCGGGCCGUCGUCGUAAAUGCCAGGCGACGACGAGUAGGAGGGCGCGGUGGUCGUGAUGCAGCCCUUGGCGUGAGCCUGGGUCAAACGGCCUCUGGUGCAGAUCUUGGUGGUAGUAGCAAAUAUUCAAAUGAGAGCUUUGAAGACCGAAGUGGAGAAAGGUUCCAUGUGAACAGCAGUUGGACAUGGGUUAGUCGAUCCUAAGAGAUAGGGGAGCUCCGUAUCAACGCGCGCAAUCGGUCUCGUGCCGCCUUGCGCCAACCUAUCGAAAGGGAAUCGGGUUAAUAUUCCCGAACCGGAAUGCGGAUAUUCUCUGGCUUUCGGGUCAGGAGCGGCAACGCUAGCGAACCGCGAGACGUCGGCGGGGGCUCCGGGAAGAGUUGUCUUUUCUUUUUAACGCAGUCGCCAUCCCUGGAAUCGGUUUGCCCGGAGAUAGGGUUGGCUGGCUCGGUAAAGCAGCACACUUCAUGUGCUGUCCGGUGCGCUCUCGACGGCCCUUGAAAAUCGCGGGGGUGUACUGAUUUUCGCAUCCGGUCGUACUCAUAACCGCAUCAGGUCUCCAAGGU
rnacentral:rRNA from 1 species